rnacentral:rRNA from 1 species
GUAUAAGCAAUUAUACAGCGAAACUGCGAAUGGCUCAUUAUAUAAGUUAUCGUUUAUUUGAUAGUACCUUACUACUUGGAUAACCGUGGUAAUUCUAGAGCUAAUACAUGCUAAAAAUCCCGACUUCGGAAGGGAUGUAUUUAUUAGAUUAAAAACCAAUGCCCUCUGGGCUCCUUGGUGAUUCAUAAUAACUUUUCGAAUCGCAUGGCCUUGCGCCGGCGAUGGUUCAUUCAAAUUUCUUCCCUAUCAACUUUCGAUGUUUGGGUAUUGGCCAAACAUGGUCGCAACGGGUAACGGAGGGUUAGGGCUCGACCCCGGAGAAGGAGCCUGAGAAACGGCUACUACAUCCAAGGAAGGCAGCAGGCGCGCAAAUUACCCAAUCCCGAUUCGGGGAGGUAGUGACAAUAAAUACUGAUACAGGGCUCUUUUGGGUCUUGUAAUUGGAAUGAGUACAAUUUAAAUCUCUUAACGAGGAACAAUUGGAGGGCAAGUCUGGUGCCAGCAGCCGCGGUAAUUCCAGCUCCAAUAGCGUAUAUUAAAGUUGUUGUGGUUAAAAAGCUCGUAGUUGAACCUUGGGCCUGGCUGGCCGGUCCGCCUCACCGCGUGUACUGGUCCGGCCGGGCCUUUCCCUCUGUGGAACCCCAUGCCCUUCACUGGGUGUGGCGGGGAAACAGGACUUUUACUUUGAAAAAAUUAGAGUGCUCCAGGCAGGCCUAUGCUCGAAUACAUUAGCAUGGAAUAAUGAAAUAGGACGUGUGGUUCUAUUUUGUUGGUUUCUAGGACCGCCGUAAUGAUUAAUAGGGACAGUCGGGGGCAUCAGUAUUCAAUUGUCAGAGGUGAAAUUCUUGGAUUUAUUGAAGACUAACUACUGCGAAAGCAUUUGCCAAGGAUGUUUUCAUUAAUCAGGAACGAAAGUUAGGGGAUCGAAGACGAUCAGAUACCGUCGUAGUCUUAACCAUAAACUAUGCCGACUAGGGAUCGGACGAUGUUAUUUUUUGACGCGUUCGGCACCUUACGAGAAAUCAAAGUGCUUGGGCUCCAGGG